AAAGCCUGUGUCUUCCAGCCUCAAGAUCUGGAUCACAGGUGUACCCUCUAUUUCUGGAUUAUAAUUCUCUCCAGGUAAGUCAAAUUACAACUGGGAAUUGUCAUCACAAGGAUAUUUGAAACUUAAUACAUAUUUCUAAAAUGUUUGAGAGAAUCUAGCAAAACUCCAUUCAACCAGAGAUUCCUUUAAUGCUGUGGAGUCAUGUAAAUUUUUUUUUAUUCCUUUUGGAAUGAAAGAAGCCUGUAUAUUCUGUUAACUCUGCUGCUUGCCUAUCAUGUGUCCAAGGGACUGGUGCUGAGAAAUGACUUACAUAACAGAUGAAUAGAUGACAUUUCUCCCCUGCCACCACAAGUAUCGCUGAAAUUAUAUAUUGUUCAUUUACUUUUUUAAAACGUGGAGUUGUAAUUUUUGUGAUAAUCAAAUCCAUCUUGAAUAGCCUGUAAUUUCUUAGCAAGGAUCAGAGGACAAUUUUCUCCCUAAUAAUAAAGAAGCUGUUCCCUGGUCCUCACAAUACUCCUGUUUGGUAUCAGUAGGAUUUAUUCGUGGUCCAUUAAUCAUCCAUGCUUGACAGUGAGUAGCUAACAAUAAUUGUGAUAAGAUGGUAAAAUGAGUCUUGUCACUUAUUUCUUUGUUUAAGAGGUGUGUGAACAAGGCAUACCGAAACAAGCCAGAUGCUUAUGUGGAGAAGGAAUUUGGAUGUGGUUGUUGAGCCCCAUGCAGACAACUUGAACUUACACUGCAGGGAUGAAGGAUGUGGAAAACUUUCCAUAGGAGUGUGCUGAGAAGGAAAUUGAAGAACAGUGUGCCUUGGUGCGGGGCACUGCAGAUGUACCUUGGGAACUAAGGUGAUAGCUCAGUUGGCAGAGUACUUGCUUUGCAGGUGCUAACAUGCCACCCACUUUAUGCUUUGAGACAGUCUCCCACUAACCUGGAAUGCACCGAGUAGUCUAGGCUGGCUGGCCAUCGAGCAGCAGGGCUUAGCCUCCCACCUGCAGGAUGCCUGGAUUUGUAUUUUAACACUGCUUCUGAGGAUUGAACUCAGGUCCUCAUGCAUACAAGUUUCUCAGUCAACCUAAGUCUUCCUUACCUCACCGGAAAUGUAGAACUCAACGCUUCAGUUAAAUAAAAGGAAGGAGCGUUUCAAUGGAAAUAGCUUCAGAAGAAUGGACUUAAAUCCAGAGAGCAUACACAGUUGCUUUGAAGAGUGUUUUGAGAUGGAUCCCAUAGACCUUGCAAUUGGCUGUCUUGAGCAGAUACAGGUAUGUUCUUGGCAGAUCUAGUAAAAUAUGCUCUGUAAAAAGCUGUAGCUUCUAGAGAAGUUAUAUUGAAGUCUGAUGAUUCGCUAAUCACUACUAAUUAUUAGAGUAGGAAUUUAACAGCUUGAUGGUUUUCUUAAGAUUUAUUUUGAAUUUUAUGAAUGCUGGUAUGUCUGUAUGGGGGUGUGUGUACAAGGACUCAGGUAGCCACAGAGACCAGAAGAGGAUAUUGGAUGUUCGGGAGCUUGGGAUAUGGGCAGUUGGGAGAUGCCCAAUGCCAGUGCUGGGAAUCCCAUGCAGGUCCUCUGCAAGAGCAGUACUGCUUCCUAACCUGGGUUGAGGACACCAUGAGAACAUGGCCCACAGAAUCAACUAAUCAAGGCCCAUAAGACCCCAUAGAGAUUGAAGCAACAGUAACAGUGUCUAUAUUGAUCUGAGAUAGGUCCUCUCUAUAUACAUUAUGGUCAUGUAUGGUGUUCUUGUGAGACUCCUAAUAGUGGAAGUGGUGACAUCCCUGACUCUUUUGCCUGCUUUUGGGACCCUUUUCCUCCUACUGGGUUGCUUGCCUCAUCCAGUCUUGAUAUGAAGGUUUGUUCCAGCCUUAUUGUAGCUUGGAAUACCUUGUAAUAUUCCAGGAAGACCUGCUCUUUGCUGAAGGGAAAUGGAAAGGGAGUGGAUCGGAAGGGGAAGUUUGGUGUACAGGUAAAGGGAAGGAGUGGAAAGAGAGGAAACUGCAGUUGGCAUGUAAGGUAUAAGAAGAAUACAGUGUUCAAUGUUUUGAAGUUACAACUAUGCUUAGUCCAAAGCAUUGUGAGGAGAGGAAAGUCCCCAUACUGCUAGACAGAGGGACUUCUGAGGAGUUGUUUAUCAAGAAACCACUGCUGAGGAGGAAGAAGGCUGUCAAUGAUGUCACCUGACAUCCAUGCACACCAAGAUGAGAGAAUUCUCUCAGCUCAGGGUCCUCCCUGACAGACCUACAAUGGCUGCCAUUUGAACCACCAAGGAUGUCUUUGAAAAAAAAAAAUUCCUACGGUCCACCCACAAAAACGUAACUCAAACAUCUGGACCAUUAAUACAACAAAGUAAUGUUGAUUUUAAAAUCUCUAUCUGGAUAAUGUGUGGUGGUUAGUUGUUGUUGUUUUUUUUUAAUUAAGAUUUUAUGCUCCACUAUGUU